UGUUUUCAUUCAGCAGAUUUCACAUACUACAAAAUGUGAUGCAUGAAAUGGUUUUAUAUCUUAAAAAUACCUUGAUAGCAAAAGUAUUACGUUUGAAAUGUUUAUUAAAAUGACAUCAAGUCAUUGUUAAUUAUUGUUCAAAACUCUUAGAUGUCUUACAAAACCAUUUUUACCUUCUUGAACAAAACUAUAUCUAUACACUUAUGUUCUUUUAUAUGUAUUGAUGUUAUAGUUUUCAUCCUUCAUUCAGUUUCCCACACUCUUGUGUAGCAAGGGUGUAUAAACCUGUUUGGACAAACAAUUACCUUCCAGUUAACUAUUAUAGGGAUAGUUAGGAGAUACAUAACAUUAUUCCUGUUACAAGGAAUUACGUCAGAGUCGGUUCAUUCAUGAGUCUAUACUAUACAUUACAUGUUACAUGAAUACGCUUACAUGAAAACGCUUACAUGAAUACGGUUACAUACAUACACUUACAUGAAUACGCUUACUUGAAUACGCUUACAUAGAUACGCUUACAUGAAUACGCUUACAUAGAUACGCNGAAUACAUUACAUGAGUACCUUACAUGAAUACAUUACAUGAGUACCUUUACGUAGAUACAUUUUCCUGUAUACAUUUACAUGGAUACUUGUACCUCGAUUCAUUAGGAUGAUUUAUUAGUACCUUCUGUGUAAAUUGUCCUGCCUAUCCUAGUUCAACGGGAUCUCUAGACUGGACUAACCACUCCGAAGCCCAGCUGUUAGCACCAGUGGUUGAUGAACAUCUACGGAUGCUUACGGUUAUUUCUUAUAUUAGGAGCACUUUUACGGGACUAACCAUUCCUUGGGCCUACUAUUCGCUACUGAGGUUGAUGAACAUCUACGGAUGCCUACGGUUAAUACUUAUAUUAGGAAUACGUUUACGGGACUAACCCUUCCUCCCACCUGCUGUAGCUACAGAGGACAAUUGAACAAUCUACGGAUGUUCAAAGGUUAUACAUUUCGCAAAUCGCGAUGUUGUGUUAAUCCUAAUACAAAAGGAUAACACUUACAUGAUUAUAUUUUUCCUAUUACUUUAUUUUGUGAUACAUUCACAUAAAUGAUGAGUUAGACUAAGUACUAUUUGUAAUAGUAAAAGAGAAGGAAAAACUAUCAUUAUCAUAGCAAAAGAUUCGAGUCUUGGUAGAAGACUACUAUAUUCUUUUCCUAUUUACUUUAUUUUGUGAUACAUUCACAUAAAUGAUGAGUUAGACUAAGUACUAUUUGUAAUAGUAAAAGAGAAGGAAAAACUAUCAUUAUCAUAGCAAAAGAUUCGAGUCUUGGUAGAAGACUACUAUAUUCUUUUCCUAUUUACUUUAUUUUGUGAUACAUUCACAUAAACGAUGAGUUAGACUGAGUAGUGUUUGUAAUAGUCAAAAAGAAGGAAAACCUAUCAUUGUCAUAACAAAACAUUCGGGUCUUGGUAGAAGACUACAUUUCAUACUAGUAGGAAAUAUGGGAUUUUCUAGGGUUUUCAUACUUAUAUCAACUGUUUCAUUUAAAGAUUUACAUGGCAUUCAUAACAGCUUUCCAAAACAAGACAAUGACACUUAAAUACUUAUGAAUUCACCAGCUUCAGGCUGAUACUGUCUUUCAAAAUAACUUGUAUUCUCAGGUCACCAGUUAGACAGGUACGAUGGCCAGGUUUUGAGAAGACGGAGCACAGAAAAGACUCAUCUUAUUUUGAUUAUUCAUUUUAUUGUUGUACAUUAUGAAAGAACACACAUGUAUUAAAACAUUACUUUUAAUGCAAUGGAUGAUGUUGUUGCUUGUUUACUACUUCACACUGUUAUGAUACUUCACAUGACGUCCUCCACCUCAGAACGUUUCCGCCGUUCUUGGUUGUGGGGUGUGACAGAUUGGUAUCAGAGCAUUGUUUAUAGUGAAUUAAGUAUAUCAACCCAUAAAAGAUAUACUAACUAUAAAUACAUUGGAAUUAAAACACUCUGUCUAAGAGUUUAUACUUUAAAUAGUAAAAUAUUUAAUUUAGUACACGUGUCUGCAUUCAUACUAAAAUCAGUGUCACAAUGACAAGAACAAAAGUAUUACGACUAUUGAAUAUCACAGGUAAGCUCGGGGAUGUAUGGUUAGUCUUGGGAGUAGCAUAGCCUGAUCAAUUAUGCUGUUCCGAGGAGCGAUUAGCACAUGCCCAAGAAUGGUUGUGGAAUGGCAACAAGUCAAAAAACUUACCAACAUUACCACAAUGAGAACAUUAUAACAGAACCUAAGUCUAAAGUACCAUAGGGGUGUUUUGUGUUACCAUAAUAACUUACUUGAGAACUAAAAAGGAUCUUCAUUACUAAGUUGAUAGUUGCUAAGUGGAUACACUAAGGCUAUAUGUAACUAGGAUGUUAUAGACAUAAAAUCGGUGAAAUUUUUGCUUUACCCUUAUUCCUUGUGAAUAUGGAGUUAAGGUUACUUAUUCGAAGGCCUAUCAUGUGUUGAUUACAUAUAACUGGUAUGCACUUUACAAAUAGCGAUAUAACUAAUGAAUAUUUUCUAAUAAUUAUCUAGAUAGCUCGUCUAAUAAUUAUUUUCUUACCCCAAUUCUCGCGUAGAUAACAUGGCUAGACUCCAUCCCCACGCCAACCCGUACCUUCCGAACGUUGUCAUUGUUGGAUGGUUUGAAGAAGAGCCAGAGAAUGAUCAUCCUAUCCCUGUGAAUGAUCACCAUGAUGAAGACCUCUCGGACGGUGCUAACUCCGAACCCGAGGUUGAGAACCUACCCCAUGCAGCUCCUUUUCCAAUUCCUAACCCUCGUCCGAAUUUUCAUGGCCCGACGCCUGAGUGGGUGGAAUGCUUGGAAACAUGGAGCCAAGGACAAGAUCAGCCCAUGCCAUUUAAUGGUGACCGAAGCUUCUAUGACCUGAGCAAUGGGGGCUCAGCAGAAAGAAUCUUGUCAAUCUUGGUCCGCAGAGUGGCCCGAAAUGAGAUUCAAGGCAGGACAGCCUUACAUCAGAUCACCGAAGUUGUCGCCGAUGCGAGAAUGCAUACCCUCUGCACAAUUAGUCUAGAAGAUGCUCGUGAGAGAUCUGAGAGAAACCAUGAAGCCCUGCUACAAGCACUGGCUGAAUCACGAGCCGAAGUCAUAGAACUUCGAGUACGCCAGAGGGUGUAUGAAAGACACCUACUUGAUGUGGAACGCCAACUGGCUGAACUGAGAGCUCACCAGAGGGAUGAUCGUCGCCAGUAGUAGAUACCUUACUUUAUUUUCCUUGUUAGAAAGGAAUUGUUUUUCUGUCUAUGCCCGAUGUGGCAUUUUCUAUGAAACUAUCUUGUACUGUAAGUACUGUUGGUUAGGUCUUUAUAUUGUCAAGAACUAUCUUCUCUGGAUAUGAUGUAAGACCUUUUUACAAGCUCAUUUUCCUGAACUUGUACGUCAUGAAUAUCAAAGUUAUUGACAGUCGGCUAACUUCUGUGUCAUUCUUUAUUCAAAUACUCUUAUCAUUCUUUCAUUAGAGUCUAUCUGAAACAUGCUUUAGUCAAGUCAUUGGACUAUAGAAAUUUAACUCCGGAGACAUCUCCAAGUCUCUUUUAAUGGUUGGAUCUUGUUAUUCACCAACCAACGAUACCUCGGCUAGAACGACAAACAUCUUGAGACCAUUGUACGAACUUACUUCCGAUCUUUGCUAGGACUGCAUCAUAGGGAUGUAGGUCAAACCUUCGUGAACAUACUUCUAUUCCGUUCUAGGACUGCAUCAUAGGGAUGUAGGUCAAACCUUAGAGAGCACACUUCUAUACUUUACAUGAGCAAUCGAACUACGUCUAGGUUCAAUCAUUCUCGCUCACAAAUUCAUUUUUCUUUCCGUGUAAUAGAAUCAUGUCGUCAAACAAAAACAAUCAACCCCUCAACCAAACACCAACUCUUCAGAUUGAUGCAGCUACCUUUCAAGCUGCAGUCUCGGCUGUCGUGUCAGCUAUUCUGACCCACCUUAACACUAACAACGCAAAUGUUGGUGGGAUUGUUAACACAAAUUCCAAUCCGAGUAACAAUCAAACACCUCAACGAGCAACAAACUACCAAGACACCCCGAGUCCUAAGACCAAGUGUAACAAAUGGAAGGCUUGGGCUAAAUGUAAGGACAAAUCGCAUCGAAGGGCGAACAGGAAACCACCACCAGUAACAACCUUCACAGCCACGACAGCGGUACCUCCUACUACCAUCCCUUCGGGUAUCCCAAUUGUCCCUAACCCAGCCAGACAAUGUGCUGGAAAUCUCCCAAAAUGUAUCCAAUGCAGUUAUCACCACCAUGGACCUUGUGGGGAGAUGCAGUGCUCAAAAUGCAACAGAAAGGGCACACCAUGCGUUACUGCAAGAGCCUAACAAGGCCGAUCAACCAAGUGCCUAACACCAGUGUAAACCAGGUUUGCUACGGUUGUGGCAAGGUAGGUCACUACAGAAGGAACUGCCCAGAGGUAGCAAAUGCUGGCACAGACGGAAGUAUGCUACCGACCACCGCCGCAAGAGAGACUACUCCGGACCCACGUUAAUGUAAUUAAGGCGUUUCGUUGUAACAGACUUAUAAACUAUCCAAAACUAGUGCAACCAGAGUCUUAUCUUUUGUGAGAUCCCGUCCGUUUAGGGAUGCUUGUGCUGCGUAUACUUGUAUUUUGUAGUAUACCUUGUUCGCAGCAAUAGUCCUGUAGUAAAUCUAAAAGUACAGUAACUCUGUUAGGGAUUGCAAUGUUGUCUUUUGUCUGUAACACCUUAUGUUCAAAUCUAUUGUCUUUAGUUUCCAUAUGAGUCCGACUUUAUCAUACGACUCGAGUAAAUUCGAUCCUCGCAAUACCAGCUUCAUACAUACAUCUCUUUCUCAGUAAACGUCUUUCUAAGCGAAACCGUCAUAUCAAAACACUGAAGUACUCAUGCAUGGAGUACCGCAUAGUUCUUUUCCUUUCCGAAGGAAUCCCCGCAGUAUGACUCGUGCAGUACGUCAAGUUCAAUCCAAAGAUUCAUACGGUUGAUCUAUCACUGAAAAAUGUAUACAUAAGAGUGAUACAUAAUCAAUGUUCUACAGGUUUAGAAUUGAUGAUUCCACUUUAACUUCUUUUCCCUUGAUGGGAUGUGAGCUUAAAGAAGAAUCAGUUAUUCGACUACCUUUUCAAUCUUAAUUAUAUACGACUCGUAUACACGAGAUUGUGAUCGUUGAACUAUGUAUGAAUUCCAGUAUGAACUUCAGGACGGAGACUGCCCAAGAGUACGAGUAAUUGCAUUGGCAUAGGAACAAACUUAGAACCCAGUAUGACUCUUAUAACUAGAUCGCCUUACAGUCUAAACACCUAUAGAGAUACAAGAAAAGCCCGGACAACUCAGCAAACUACUCAACAAUAGAAUUGGAAGACCAGGCUUCUCACCCUUGAGAGCUCUGGUCUUAUUCUUCCAGAAGUCGACAGAUUGCAUCAUAUGUACCUCGACGAUCGGGGACUCCGUUAUGAUUUCCUUUAGAAAUCGUUAUCUCUGCCUCACAUAGAUGAGUUGAUUUAGCGAACGCAGGGAAAGAAUUACUGUCAGAAAUGGACCUGAGAUCCGAAUAUCACCAGUUCGAGUGUUAGGGAACGAUGUCCUGAAGACUACCCUCCGAACUCGAUGCGGCCACUUCGAGCGUAGUGAUANUUCGAGUCCGUAGUGAUACCCCUCGGAUAGGACCAAUACGCCCAUAUUAUUCAUGAGCUAAAUGAGUAGGGUACGUCUUUCUUAUUGGGAUCAGUUCGUCAUUCUCCUUGUAGUGACCUACCUAUCUACCCUUGUAGUAAGAAAGAACCCAUAGAAACAUUACCUUCAGAGGAACUUUCGCAAAGUUCUCUAAACACGAGUUUUGAAAUUGAAGAGUCAGAUUCCUAAGACACAUUGUUAGGGAUGUGGGAAUUUUUUUGUACUCUUUCAAUUUGUCAAAAUCGUUGAAAAUUUGUCAACACCACAGACGCCGGCAGUAAUUCGCCAAAUUCUAGGUCGUGCAGACCUACUAUUGUAGUCCAUUCAAAACUCCUCGCAAAUUACAGAAAGCCUUUCGAAUUUGACCCAGCAAGGGGUGGCCCUUGACUGGGAAGUUAAGCGAGAGAAGGAACCUUUGGAAUUCCAAGUAAGAGACCAAAUUCUUUAGGAAGUCUCACUCUGGGAAUGGCUUAAUAUACUUCGUAAAUAGUGGAAGGCUAAAUCCAAUGUAGUUAGGACCUCCGGGAUUCUAACCAGAAUCGGUCCUAUAUCUCACAGACUAGACCUACUCCAUGAACUCAGUAACGUACAUUUUACCCUUCGCAUCUUGAUUUUUUUAAACCGUACCUUUCCAUUAGGACUCUCGUAAGCCACUAGACGAGAUUGAGAUUAACGAGAUCCUCGCCUUCGUAUUAGAACCGUAGUGACCCUCAACCGAGAGGUCAAGCGGACGAAGCAACACCAACGUCCAUUAGUGAAGGUUCGUUGGAAUACCAACCGAGGACCCGAUUUCACUUAGGAGCGCGAGAGCCAAUCGACUAGGAAGUUUCCACCUCACGACUCGAUCACUUCUACCUAUUUCCUUACCUAAAUUCUAAUUUCGGGACGAAAUUCCCUUUAACAGGGGGAUGAUGUGACAACCCGAAAUUUCCAUUCUGAACAAACCAUAUCAAGUCAAUAGAAGAUAGAAUAGUUACAGUGAAUUUCCAGACUUUUGGGUAUAAGUUUCAGUAUUUCAGGGUUUAGACUUAAGGAGAUAUCAGGAGAGUGGAUGCACUAGGGUUUUGUGCGACACUGUUUCAAAACUCUAUGAUAUUAGAGUUCAUUUCGUGAAUAAAAUAUUUUCUGCCAAAAAUCCCAGGACUAUAUAUAGGAUUCUAAACCAUAUUUAUUCAUUAGUUACAUUUCCAACUAGAGAAAAGCCGAAUUCUCUCUCACGGAUCUUCGGAUUUUCAUCCCAAAUCGUGAGUACUUCCAUCUAGUUGUAUUAUAUAGCUUAGAUUGUGCUUAAUAACAUCUAAAUCGGAUCAAAACCCCAAGAUUUGAGAGCUUACCGCUCAAGAACACUUGGAGAGUAAACUCUUUUAUAAGGGCCAAAGUGUGCCCAAUGUCCCUCCAGCCUUGGAACNAGCCUUGGAACUCAACCUAGAAACUACCAUCACAUGUUUAGACCACAAAAUCAUUAAGAAACAAAGGCUAGAAGUGAGUUCACGGCCAAGGAUGUUCUUGGGCCAUGAACUCCUUUUUAAGGUGCCAAAAUGCCCCAAAUGUCUUCCUUAAGCCAAGAGACUAGCAUAACACUUUACCCUAAUGUGUUUAGGACUAGAAAACUCCAUUAGAACACCAAGAGUAAGGUGUUCACGGCCCAAGAAGUUCCAACGUCGUGACCUCCAAACAAUAGGGCCAAAUGGUGCUAUAAACUCUUCUAAAGCCUUGUACACUAGCCUAGUUUAGUUCCUAGUUGAAUUAGGAAUGUGAAAACACCAAAAACACCCAUCCAAGGGAGAUUACGGCCGUAAUAUCCAUGGGAUUUGGUCCCAGGGCCGUAAACUCCUAAAAGGAGUUAUAUAAUGCCCUAAACUCUUCCAUAGACCAAGCCAUUAAGUAGAAAUGCUUCUUUGGGUCUUGUAGAGCAUCAAACACAAAAUGGACAUAUAAUUGUGAGCUUACGGCCGUAAACUCAUGAUUUUACUACCGUAAACUCCUUUGGUAGUGUCAUUAGGGCCGUGAACUUCAUGGUGGAGUUUUCCUUGAGCCCUACACACAAUAGCUUCCCCUACAAACACUUAGAUGCAAUCCUAGAGGCUAAUUAAACUUAAUAAAGGUGUUUAGCAUGUCAUUAGGUGUCUUGACUUAUUUAUUAGUUUUUUAUAGACUAAUUUGUUACAUAUAUGUGAUAUUAUAUGUUAACUAGGAUCAUAGAGUGUGUUCAAGACUUCACUUGACACCUAGCAAUCAUACCUCUUCAGUUCAUCCAUAUCACCCACAACAGGUGAGUUCAUACCCCUUAAUCAAUGUUUUAAAUGGUUUUAAAUGCUUUAAUGGGUGGGGAAUACAGGUAGAAAACAACAUGUUGUUAAAUCAAUCAUAUAUAUUUAUAACUGUGUUUUCAUUCAGCAGAUUUCACAUACUACAAAAUGUGAUGCAUGAAAUGGUUUUAUAUCUUAAAAAUACCUUGAUAGCAAAAGUAUUACGUUUGAAAUGUUUAUUAAAAUGACAUCAAGUCAUUGUUAAUUAUUUUUCAAAACUCUUAGAUGUCUUACAAAACACUUUUUACCUUCUUGAACAAAACUAUAUCUAUACACUUAUGUUCUUUUAUAUGUAUUGAUGUUAUAGUUUUCAUCCUUCAUUCAGUUUCCCACACUCUUGUGGAGCAAGGGUGUAUAAACCUGUUUGGACAAACAAUUACCUUCUAG
rnacentral:lncRNA from 1 species